GCUGGUAAGCUGAGGUCAAUCAAAUCGCAGGCAAACUUUCAAAUAUAUCAAUGUAAAUCAGCAAUCGAUUCCGGAUGCACAUCGUAAUCGAUAGAAAGUAAACAUAUUGCCUGGAGAAAGUUUGCAUAACUUUUUCAAAGCGGAAAAGGGUCAAAGGGCCAGAUGUUUUAGCUCACAGUUGGAAUAAUUAGAUCCACAGUUGGAUAAACGUUUUUGGUGUAAGAAAGUAGAUUAUCUGGAUUUUGUUUUUGAGAUUUUUGGAAUCUUCUUAAGCAUUCGCUUAUCGAUUUACUCCUUCAAUUUCGAUUUAAUCCAAUCAAUCGAAAGCUCACUCCUCGAUAUCCUGGCUCAAGUGUCGCUUUUUUUGCAGCUUUUCUUGGGCAAACACAGACGACACUUCUUCAGCUUCAGCUGCUUUUUAUCUGCUUUCCGAUUUUCCGAGCGUUUAGGCAACAAUAACAGCAACAGCAGCAAGAGCAAGUUGGGUAAACAAAAAGUCGGACUUGGUGAGUCCAGGACACCACAGAGAUGACGCAUAAUGAUUGCAAAACCAUCUGAAUAUGGACCUGAAAUAUUUCCAAAAUAUAUUCGAGAAAAGUCUUUAUUUUAAAAUUGUUAUAUGAACAGCAAUUUUAUGUAUCUACUUCAGUUAACAAACAAAUAUAGGAAAGUAAUCUA